rnacentral:pre_miRNA from 1 species
CAAAUACUCCUUCCGAUACAUAUUAGUUGUCACAAAUUUGUUCAAAUAUGAAUGUAUCUAUGCUUAAAAAGCGUUUAGAUACAUGUAAUAUUUCGACAAUUAAUAUGGAUCGAAGGGAGUACAUC